rnacentral:lncRNA from 1 species
GGUUCUGGGAAAUAAGAAAUCAUUAGAAAAAGAUUUCUGCCUUCUAGAAGUACACAGUCUAAUGGUGAGAUAGGCAGUUAUUAAUGGCUCUCCUACUAGGAGCCUGACAUCAUGGUGAGCAUCGAGAAAGGAAUAACCUAAGCUGAAGACACGCCUUUUCAGGAGGCCAAGUUCCACGUUCUGUGCAUGCUUUUGGCGAAAGUCAGGUGCCGAGACAUGAACUUUGGUCUUCUCUGCAAUCCAUCUGGAGCAUUCACUGACAACAUCGACUUUGAAGUUGCACUGACCUGGCCAGCCCUGCCACUUACCAGGUUGGCUCUGUAUGGCUAAGCGUUUUCUCCUAAAAUCCCUUGAAAACUGUGAGAAGACCAUAAGAAGAUCAUAUCUUUAAUUCUAUUUCACAAGUCACACAAUAUUCCAAUCAAAUACAGAUGGUUGAGAAAAGUCAUCCAUCUUCCCUCCCCACCCUCCCACAGCCCCUCAACCACUGCCCUGAAACUUAUAUGCUGUUAUCCGCAGCUCCAUCUGGAGCAUCACAGCUACUGUCAACCCUGACGCUCUUUCUGAAAAAACACCGGAUGGACAUCAGAACUAUUUCUUUAAGGAUGUUACUGAGCCACACAGGAAAACUUGCCUUAUGAUUUUGAAUGCACGGAUCUGAUUUGACUAAACAUGAUAACUAGAGAAUCACCCAAUCUACUCCCAUUUUCAACUCUAAAUCAUCAGAGUGUCUCAAAUCCAAAGCACACACAGACCAGCCUGGCCAACACGGUGAAACUCCACCCCUACUAAAAGUAUAAAAAUUAUCCAGGUGUGGUGGCGGGCGCCUGUAAUCCAAGCUACUUGGGAGUCUGGAGGCAGGAGAAUCCCUUGAACCUGGGAGAUGGAGGUUGCAGUGAGCAGAGAUCACACCACCGCACUCUAGCCUGGGCCACAAAUCAACAACAACAACAACAACAAAAAACAAAGCGCACACAGAGACUGAGGUCCUCUUUGGCAUUGAGAAGAUGGCUAUGCAAGUCCCAACUAGCAAGUGCAAACUUCCCAGCUUCACUUCUGCCAGUGUCCCUUCACCCCUUCUCAACCCCACUGGGAGGCAGGAGGGUGCUUGACAAUAACAGCCUUGGCAUCACUCUGCCAGGGUGUAAUAGGAACUGUUACAAUUCUGAGAUUCUGUGUAAGCACUGGCCUUUCUGCCUAGAAUGCCUUCUCCUCUCUUUUUUAACUGCAUGCUCCUAUUUAUCUUUCAAAGCCCGGAAAAAAUAACACUGCACACGGGAAAUGCUCCCUUCCUACUGCAGUCAUUUAGAUGACUCUAUGCCAUUCCAUUCAUUUCUCUUUCCUACCACAGAAGUGCUUUGAGAUUUUGGAGUCAGACUGCUUGAACUUGAAUCCUGGCCCUCUCAUCAGAGACUUGACUUAUUUUAGGCAAGUUAUAUAACCAAUUUUACCUCAGUUCCUUACCCAUAAAAUGGGUCUAAUGAGAGUACCUACCACACAGAAUUUUGAUGAAAACUGAAUGAGAUGAAGGCCUUUAAGGCAGUGGUCCCCAACCCUGGGGACACAGACAGGUACCAUUUUGUGGCCUGUUAGGAACUGGGCCACACAGCAGGAGGUGAGCAGUGGGUGAGUGAGAUCAGCGUUAUUUACAGCUGCUCCCCAUUGCUCACCUUACUGCCUGAGCUCCACCUCCUGUCAGAUCAGCAGUGGCAUUAAAUUCUCAUAGCAGCACAAACCCUGUCAUGAACUGCACAUGCGAGGGAUCUAGGUUGUGCGCUCCUUAUGAGAAUCUAAUGCCUAAUGACCUGUCACCGUCUCCCAUCACCCCUAGAUGGGAGUGUCUAGUUGCAGGAAACAAGCUCAGGGCUUCCACUGAUUCUACAUUAUGGUGAGUUGUAUAAUUAUUUCAUUAUAUAAUACAAUGUAAUAAUAAUAGAAACACAGUGCACAACAAAUGUAAUGUGCUUGAAUCAUCCCCAAACCAUCCCAGUCCACGGUCUUCCACAUUUUGUCUUUUCACAAAAUUGUCUUCCACAAAACUGGUCCCUGGUGCCAAAAAGGCUUGGGACCACUGCUUUAAAGCCUUUGCAUAGUGCUUAGAAUUGAGGGGGAAAAAAAAAACAAAAACAAUGUAGCUAGUUGCUACAAUCACUAUAUUGGUGAGUUUCAAAAGGAAAAGAAUUCUGUCCCAUUUAUGCUUGAGCCUUGAGUUGCUAACCAAGCCUGACACAAAAUUACUGUUGAAGGGAUGUGUGAGUCCUAAUUGAAAUGAGGCCUCUUAAGGGAAUUGUGGACCAAACCCCAAGCAGGCAGAAAGCCGUAUCUUAAUUAUUGCAAGUAUUUCAGGCAAGGUGUGGAUGGCCAUUUGAAUUCAAGCAGACUAGGACCUGGGAUGAGAAAGAAGGUGUGUACGUGACUUGAUCUUUGAACUUUAGCUCACCAUCUGGAAGAAGGCUGAGUAUUCUCUGCACUCACAUAGUAGCUAAUGCCUACUCCCCAGCCACCCACAAUUCUUUCUGUAGGAAGGCUCGCUAGAAUACUUUGUGAUAUUGGAUAUUAGUUCCAUAUUCUACUGUGUAUCUUAGUUCAACCAAAUUGUAAUCAUCUGAUAUUUAUUUCUUUUAAUAUAAAUAUAAGUAUAUUAAGUCUUGGCAUGCUUGCUCAGUCUCUCUCUCUCUCCCAUUCCUCCCCGCUCCCCUCUCUCUUUCCCAACAGGCUUGGAAAGCAGGCAUCACCAUGCCUAUUUAACAGUUGGGGUCCCUUGGCCACCAGGUGCUGGAGUAGGAAUCUGAGCCCGGACAUGCCUGAUCUGUAAAUUUUGUGUUUUCCCCACUGUGCUGGGCAGAUCACAGCUAUCAGCGCCAAAUUCAUAGAAGGGGCGCCCCCUGUGGUCAAUUGAGGGAUUUGUGUUUGAGGUAGAUCUCAAGAAGGAAUGGGUGGGGAACUUAGCCUAGGACAGAGCAGAAAGGAGCCCUCACUCCCCAAGCACCAACGGCCUCAGUCCUUCCUGCUGACUCCAGCCUCUAGCUCUCACCCAGACUAUCUGCAUCCUUCUCUCCACCACGCUCCUUUGGAACCUGCGUAAAACACAGAUUAAAGGAAUUCCGCCUUACUUCCCUUUCCGCAUUAUGACCAAAUGGUUUUACACUAUCAUUGAACAGUUUAGUACAAAACAUGCCACCUUUUAAUCUAUUCAUUCAUUUAACAAAUACUUUGGAGUGUUUACCAUGUGCCAAGUGCUGUUCUAAUAGACAUAAGCUGUGAGGUUAUGCUUAUCUGAUUCUCACAGCAACAGCUUUCGAGAUAUGAAUUGGUAUACUCAUUUGACAGAUGAGGAAAUUGAAUUCAUGUAGUGAGAAAGGAAGAGCUGCAAUUCAGGGUUACUGGUUUCUCCUGCACUAAGCACUGAGCCACACUAGAAGAGAAGGCAUGAGGAAGACAAAAGUGAGAAGGUACGAGAGAAGAUAUUAAGUAGAGGUCUAUUAGUUCCUCUUAAAACUAUUUAUGAAAGAGGCGGAUGGGGUAGUGGAUGGGAAAGACAGAUGGAUUCAUGUUCUUCACUCCAGGUUUCCCCCCAUUCCCUUCCCUUUUAAAUGCCUGCUCAUUUUUUGGCUACCUUUCAAGCUCUAGGAAAUACUCUGGAAUUCCAGGCUGGGAGGGGUUUCCUUUGCAGAUCUGGCUAUUGUAACUUUACAAGAAAUUGCUCAAUACUUCCUCUCACCAGUUACAAACCACGGUUUUCUGAAUGAACUUUAUGUUCAUUAAACAGUUAACCCUUCAGCUUUCUGACUCACAUUUUUCAUGUUAUUAAUCAGCUCUUAGAGUAAGGUAAAAUCUAGAACAGACUUUAUAUACACCCUCCCUCCCACACACAUAUACAUACAUAAUACAAACACAGACCACACAUGUCCACAUCCUUAUGCGCAAACACUAAGAAACACACGCAUACACAAACAUACAUGUACACAAAAUUAAAUACAUAGCUAUGGCACUUUCACUAUACAUGUAAACACCCUUACACACAUACAAAUGUACAUGCGCGUGUGCGCACACACAUAUGGAAUUAGCUUUUUCUCUUUGUGGGAGGAGGGAAAUGAAAAGACCCAAAACAUUCAGAUUCCCAAAUGGACACGUAAGAACCCCGUCAUGGAAAUAGGUCUGGGUUUUUUUCUCUUUUGAGGGAAGCAGGGCGUUUCUGGUUACUGUCGCCAUUGCCAUUGUGCCCCUGCUUACCAUCCCCCUGCACCGCCCCCCCGGCCCCCGCCCGCCACUGCUAGGGUUUACAGGUCAUCCCUGGAUUAAAUAAGUGAUAUUGUGUUUUUUUUUCUUUGACACAAAGUAAAAUUAUAAUUAAUAUUGAAUAAAGUAAAAAUGAACUCCUGAGUUCCAGUCCCUUAUGUAACACACCUGGUUUGUGGCAGGCACUCAGGAAAUAUUAGUUGCAUGAACGAAGGCUGCAUUUUCAUUAGAACAACAUGCAGUUCAACCCCUUCAUGUUUCAAUGAGGGUUCAGAUACCCAGAGGGCUAUGCUAUCAUCCUGGAGCCCACUCUGCUAACAAUUAGCAGAACGGAAGCCUUAAUUUCCAGAUUCUAGUGAACUUGAUGAGUCAAGACUAUUGCAAUUGGAAAUCUGUUCUCCUCUGCUGCUGCAUUCCCUGCUUAAUACUCAAGCCAGAAACCAGGAAGGCUGUGGCUUGCCUUUUCACUUCUUGUGUCCUGUUUAAGAAAUAUCUGCUAUCCCAAGCAUCUGGCAUCUUUCUUGACAUAUGUAGCAGUUGCUUUUUGACAGCUUGCUUCUUCAGUGAAUGAAUAAAUUAAUAAAGAGAAAUGUGAUGUUCAGUGAUCCAUUUUGCAGGCAUGCUUCUGAUGUGAGUUCAGGAGAAGACACUGGCAAGGACAGCAAAGAACAGGAGAACACUCUAGCUUCCCUGAUAGCAUUCAAGGUGCUGUCCAAACUGACUGUGAUGGCACCCUCCAGACAGACAGCGAUGCCACAUGUUCAAGAUGGCAGAAUCACUAUCAGCUUCAAUUCCUGAAUGACUGCAGAGCAAAAUUUCUUACCUGCAACAUACACUCUAUUUUCAGCCUCCCUGGACUGUUACAUAAUGAUACAUAAAAAUAUUUCUUGUGUUGAGGCAUCCCAAAUUUGAUUUAUUUGUCAUCACAGUCUAUCCUAUGAAUAUAUUUCUGAUCCAAAUAAUGCUAGAUUCAUGAGAGUUUAUAGUCCAGAGAUUUUUUUUUUUUUUUUGAGACAGAAUCUGUCUCCCAGGCUGGGGUGCAGUGGCAUAAUCUUAGCUCACUGCAACCUCUGCCUCCCGGGCUCAAGUGAUCCUCCCUCCUUAGCCUCCAUGAGUAGCUGGGACCACAGGUGUGCACCACCACACCCCGCUAAUUAUUUUGUAUUUUUUGCAGAGGGGGGUUUCACCACAUUGCCCAAGCUGGUCUCAAACUCCUAGACUUAAGGGAUCUGCCUGCCUUGGCCUCCCAAAAUGCUGAAAUUACACUUGUUAGCCAUAGUAAUAGUUCCUAGCCAUAGUCCGGAGAUAUUUUAAAAACUUUAGUGUGAGUUAUUUCUCUUUGCUAUAAUUCUCUCAUGCAUUUUGAAAACCUUUUCUGCCAUACAGUGGUUUUUGGGAAGUCCUUUUGGACAGACAUAUCACAGGAUGGAGAAACUAAAAAGAGAGAAUGCAUUAAAGAAAAAAUAGUACUUCGUAUUUCAGAAAUUACAAAAGGGUGUCAUGCCCCACAGCAUGGUGGGCAGUCAUUUGUAACCCACAGAACAUUGAGUUUCUAAAAUUUGAGUGUUUUUAACUUACGAAGGCCAACUUUACUGAUGAAGUGAUUACCCCAAAUAUGUGAAAUCCAUAUUUCAAGUACAAUAGUAGGAAAUUGGAAAUGGGCUCUUGAGUUUCUGCUUUCAAGUGACCCUCAGAAAUUCCUCCAUUCACUGCAGAGGUUCUGUUUCUCCUUGCUUUGUUCUGACUUUACGGCAGAACUAAGCUAAUGAGUUAGUUACUAUGGGUUAUCACUUGGAUUUGAAGAACCAUCAUUUCUAGGCAUUGCUGCUCAGAGUGGGUCUGCCCUCAGGGGAAGCUGUCUAACCAGAGCCUAACCCACUAGGGUUUUAUCAGAACCUAACUGACCUGAGGAAAAGAAAUACUCAACUCCAGCAAGCUCCAGCCUUCCAAAUGGAGGAGGAGAAAACCCAACUCCAGCCCACUUCAGCUAUCUUGUCCCACAUAAAGGGGAAGUGGAAGAAACCUGAGAAGCAGGCAUGAAGUUCACAGUCCAGAGACCUUGCCAUCGUAUCCCCUUUUGGAGACACAAGCCAGGAAGGAAGCUCUUCAGUGCAGCUGUGAAUAGAGAAAUGCUGGCUGAGGUUUUGGAGACACUGGGUGAUCAUUCCCAGUGAAAUUUUUAGAUCCCUGGGGACAUGAGCUGCUUUGUCUUUUCCAAGGACAGCAGACAGAGCAUGAAUGAGACCCCCAAAGAAGGGAAGCAAAUGAGACAAGCCCCACAAUUAUUCUGGCUUUUUGCCUAGAGACAAUCUAUGAACUGUGGGGCAAACAACAGAGAUCAAAACAGCUUGGCAAUCUGAGUUGAGGAUGAAGACACCAUUGGGGCAGAAGCAGCGAUAGCUCAAAUUUGUGGAGCAAAGUACCGGAGAAGAUAAACUGCUCCAAAUUCCAAGAGGCUGGGCAAAGAAAAACUUUGUGGAAAGAAGAAUUAUCAGGGAACUCUAAGCUGAAAAAUUGCCAGGGCUCACACAGACCUGGGGAAUUGGUUGAGUUUAUGCCACCUACAGGAUAGAGAACUUGCUGAAUGUUCAAGGAUUUUGUUACAGAUGCAAGAUGACACUUAAAGGGAUGCAAAACUAACAUCUCUGGAUUAGUCUUAAUAAAGUUUAAAAAUAAGCUUAGAAAAAGUCAAA